rnacentral:misc_RNA from 1 species
GACGAACCGUGCGAACGUUAUUCGGAAUCACUGGGCUUAAAGCGCGUGUAGGCGGAUGGUCGCGUCGGUCGCUGAAAGUCCCCGGCUCAACCGGGGAAUGGGCGCCGAUACGGGCCGUCUGGAGGGGCGUAGGGGGAGCUGGAACUCACGGUGGAGCGGUGAAAUGCGUUGAGAUCGUGAGGAACGCCUGCGGCGAAAGCGAGCUCCUGGACGCCUUCUGACGCUGAGACGCGAAAGCCAGGGGAGCGAACGGG